rnacentral:rRNA from 1 species
UGAGGAAUAUUGGUCAAUGGACGAGAGUCUGAACCAGCCAAGUCGCGUGAAGGAUGAAGGUCUUAUGGAUUGUAAACUUCUUUUAUACGGGAAUAAAAAAAGCCACGAGUGGUUUAUUGCAUGUACCGUAUGAAUAAGGAUCGGCUAACUCCGUGCCAGCAGCCGCGGUAAUACGGAGGAUCCAAGCGUUAUCCGGAUUUAUUGGGUUUAAAGGGUGCGCAGGCGGUCUUUUAAGUCAGCGUUGAAAGUUUGCGGCUCAACCGUAAAAUUGGCAUUGAAACUGGAAGACUUGAGUGUAAAUGAAGUAGGCGGAAUUCGUUGUGUAGCGGUGAAAUGCAUAGAUAUAACGAAGAACUCCGAUUGCGAAGGCAGCUUACUAACAUACAACUGACGCUCAUGCACGAAAGCGUGGGGAUCAAACA